rnacentral:lncRNA from 1 species
AGAUAAUCUUUAAAUGUAUAAUUCUCAGUAGUUGUUAAUGCAAAGCUGUUCCUUCCCUCCCCCCCGAAAAAAAACCCAUCUCCUAUUUGUUACUCAAAGGGAUCACAUAUCUUCAUGUGCUCUGAAACUCUCUUAAAUCAUUUCCAUCUUCCAGAAAAACCAUCCCAGUGUUCUCCAGGGUAUUUACAAAAGAACAAUAAAACAUUCAUUUUUUUAGCACACUGUAAUGAAAACCAUCCCCAAGUACUUAGUUUAACUGCCUUGUUUACCGUGGGAGUUUCAAAUGUCAUUAGGACCCUGUUAUAUUUUUGUUGGUCUGGAGUCGUGGGAAUCACAAAGUAUUUUUUAACCAAGGGUUAAAACUAGGAUAGCAAUGCCCAAUGGCACCAUCUCAACAUUUUGUUAAAGUGUGUUUCAUUAAUGCUUUGGAAGCCUAUGUAAAUCAGAGGAUGGUGGGGGGAAGAAAAGGUCACGAAUACUGGAUGUUAAAGCAGUGUGGUGUGAAGAGAAACAUCUGCUCCUGGUUAAAUUCUUUAAACUUAUGUUCUUUUGACUCACUCAUUUAACUGUGGUGCUGAGAUUUGAGUUCAAUGAAGACUCUAAAGCUGGUUUUCCAGAAUGUUCCAGGGAGUCUUAAUGAACCCUUGAGUUCUUAACCCCAAGCUUGUAAUUCCAAGGUCACUGGUAUUACCAAAGUAUAAAACUAGGGUUGUCAACCUCAGCAACUCCAAAAAACUGUCUUUUUGUUUUUUGGGACCUACAUUGCCUCAUCUUAGUGCCUUUGUGAAACAAGGCCCAUGGGUAUGCCUGAUUAUGAGGCAUUUUUUACCUUGAUAAGAAGUAGUGAUAUUAACAAAUUGCUUAUUGCUACUUCUUUUCUUUUUCCUGAGGGGAAGAUUGACUUGGUUUCUUAAGAGAUGGACUGAAAACCCACGAACUGCACAUUUUAACAGCAAUGCUUUCUUGAGACAUGUCUCUGGACCUGCAACCCCCUUAAUGUCUCUAGGCCUCAGUUUUCUUCACUGUUAAGAUGAUAGGAGUAGCAAAUGAUGUGCAAGUUUUCUGAAUCUCAAAUGAAUAUAUUUUUAAAACAUUAUUGGUCCCAGAUGGAUAUUUCCUGAAAUUGUAGACUCAUAGAUGUUUCCACUUGGGGGUAACCUCAGAUACUGCAAAUUUAAUCUCAUGCCUAUUCAUUCCUUUAAUAAAUGCCCAAGGAAUACUUACUGUGUACCAGGAACAGUUCCAGAUGCUGAGGACAAAGCAGGAGGCAAAAGAGACAAACUGCCUGUCCUCAUAGAGCUCUCAUCCAGCUAGGAAAACCAGUUGUAGGGAGAUGGAGGGGGGAACAGCAUGCCAAACAGAGGGAUCUGCAAAGUGCUGAGGCCCCCUGAUGGGAACAAAUCUUGGGGUAGGGGGGAAACAAUGACAAAGACUUGUGAAGGUGUCAGGAGUUUGGGAUGUGGCCUGAGAGGUGGGCAAGACCCAUUUCAGGGGCAGGGCAAGGGUUGGGAAUCUUAUUCUAAAUGGGACAUCGUUGGAGAGUUAAAACGAGCAGCCUUAACUGGCUCACAUCUUUCAGAUACCAGCCUGGCUGCUGUGAGGGCUGUAUACAGGCCAGCAUGCAGGAAGAAAACCAGCAGAAAGGUGGUGGUGAGGCCAAGGAAGAGCAUCUCCAGGAGGAGGGGAAUGCAUGAGCUACCAGAGAGGAUGGGGUGGUGAGGGCUAAAAAGCCUGUGGGAUUUGGCGUCAUGGAGGUGACAGGAGGGCUGUGGGGAGCUGCCGGUGAGGAGGCAGUACAGAAGCUAGAGAGUGAGUGGAGGUGGAGUCGGUGAGGCGGGUGGGUGGACGAGGCUUGCUUACUUCUAUUGUUGGUUGGAUUCUUUCCUCUUUUUCUUCUUUUAAAAAAAGAUAACUUGAAUUUAGUUGUAUGCUGAGUGGAAGGAGCCAGUAGAGAGAGAGAGAGAGAGAGAGGGAAAGAGUUAAGCUGCUGACCCUGAAGGAAGGGAAAGCUGGCCAUACACCUGUGUGUGGAAGC